rnacentral:rRNA from 1 species
GACAGAGGUCCCGAGCGUUGUUCGGAUUCAUUGGGCGUAAAGGGUGUGUAGGAGGCCAGGUAAGUCAGGUGUGAAAUCUCAGAGCUUAACUCUGAAACUGCGCUUGAUACUGCUUGGCUAGAGGAUCGGAGGGGGUAACGGAAUUUAUGGUGUAGCAGUGAAAUGCGUAGAUAUCAUAAGGAACACCGGUGGCGAAGGCGGUUACCUGGAAGAUUCCUGACUCUAGAAACACGAAAGCCAGGGGAGCAAACGGG